GGAACAGGAGGUGAAUGGAAGUUUUUCAAAAGAUUAAGAUUUUGAGAGUAUCAGGUGGGGAAUAGAGGAAAAAUGACUGGAUAGACCCAGUGUGGUCAAGGAUGGGCCAAGGGAAUUGAAACAUGUAUUGCCAUAUAUUUAGAGAGGGAUGACGGCGUCCCUUCUGGUCGACUGCUGCCACAACAUGAGAGAAAUGCCCAGCUUAGGACUGCUUCCAGUGACUGAGGUUGCAGUUCCAACCACGCACAUGAGCUGCCCCAAAGGAGCUACUCACCUGAGUGACAGCACAGCAGUGCUGUCGGGGAUUUCAAGUGUCCUUCUUUCCA